CAGCCCCCGCCCCGAAUGAGGCCAAGCAAAGCUGCACCCCCCGCUGCCGGCUGCUGCUCGGAGCUCCGGGCUCUCCCCGUGCGGAGCUCCCAGAGGCACCGACGGUCCCGAGCGUUCAACCCGAGCACCUCUUGUCCUCCUUUAACCCCCCCUCCACGCCCCAAGUCUGGGGAGCAAAGCAACCUAUCUCUUCCCGAACACCCUGUGCCGACCGUGGGGGAGGGUGGGGGCACGGCCGGGACACAAAGGCCGGGGGCUGCAGCGGGGCGGGCCGAUGAGCGGGGCUCCGGGCUCCUCCUCCUCCUCCGCCGCCUCCGAGCGGGGAUGCUGCUGCCGGGCACGCACCGGGAGCCCCGCGGAGCGCUGCGGGCUGCGGCCGCCCGAGGUGGGAACCCGUCGGGGCAGGGGGCGGUGCGGGGGGACCGGGAGCCGUCGGGGUACGGGGAGCUCCGGGGCGGGCGGAGGAACGGAGCGGAGGGGUUUGCGGCGCGGAGGCAGCGGGUGGCCCCGCACGGCACCGAGCGCCUCUCCCAGCCGGGAGAUUCGGGGUUCGAGUUCCCCCCACGUCCGCGGGGGUCCUUCGGGAGUCCCCGCUCCCGCAAAGCGAGCGCGGCCCCGGCUGCGCGCACCCCUGCGCGGGUGCGGUGCUCGGCUCUGCUCCAUCGCUUCCAUCCGAAGUGCGGCAAACUUCAAGGAGAGGGGGAACGGUGUGUGCUCAGCACCUCGGCUCGGGCUGCUGCUGGUUGCACAGCCCCAGAACUCUUUGGGAAACGUGCAGGUGGAAAUCUACCUUGCCUUUGGUUUGUUGUGAGCGUCGUGCCGUGCUCGUGUCGGAAAUUAUCUGCUGGGAGAGCGUGGGGAGAGAGGGUGGGAGGUGUGGGUGCCCAGGGCUGGUGUGCGGGAGGCUGUGGUUUGUGCAGCUGUUGGGUUCCUCCGUGUGCGAGGGCUGAUGGUGUCAGAACGUUGUGUGCGAGCCUGCAGCCCGUCCUGUGCCAGCCUUUCCUUGUGCCGGUGCUGUUCUCAGUCCUCACGGCUGAGCAGAGGAUGCAGAGCUCUCGAUCCUGGAAAGCCAGCGAUCCAUCUCUGCCUUUAAAAACAGAGCUCGGGCAUCGCUGCUGUUGCUGUGGCAGGAGUCAGCUUGGGUCUUCCCUUCUCACCAGAUCCACAGAGCUUUGUAGGGACUCUGUCCAGCCGCAGCACUGCACUCCCAUCUUCCCUGGGAGUUUGCACCUGGCUGUCUCCAAAAGGCUGGAUACCCACAGGGGCUUUGCUUCUCCUGGUUGAAGAGCAUUUAUCUGCCCAUUGGUGCAGCACCCAGUAGGUCCAAUUUGUUGCCCCGGGGAUGUGGAGGAACCCCAGCCUGUACCCCCAUCGCUGACCUCCCCCAGCACACCCCAGCCCCAUCUGCAUCACUGCUGCGAGCCCCUUUCUCUCUGGGCACUCUGUGUUUGGUUUCCCGUUGUCCCCUUUUGCUGACCCCCAAGCAGCACCGUGCCCCAGGCACCUCCUCACCAUUGCACACCAGUUCGGGGGCCUUUUGGUGCUAACAAGUGAGCAGAGACCUGGGAACUCAUCACAAGUGUGGCUCAGCGCAGGGAGCAGCGUCUGAACCCGUUUAUUUUCCGAGCAGGUUCGUGUUCACGCGGCAGCUCCUAUGGUUGUCCGGAUUCCUCCGGAGAGCUGUUUUCCUCCUUGAAGGCUGCAGCAAGUGCAACACGAGCAGGAAAAGAAAAAAAAAACAAAACCUCUCUGCUAUCGGUCUCACUGAUAGCAUCGCUCCAGACGCCGGCGAACCU
rnacentral:lncRNA from 1 species